rnacentral:lncRNA from 1 species
AGAACCCAGCAAAAUGGGGACCUCCGCAGUCAUCCUUGAAAUAUGUCUUUUAUUGAGUCAAGUUCUAACCACAGUAUCUUCAACAACGCAAACAGAAUCGACCACUGAAGACCGAACACAAAUCACAGAAACUGCUUUCUGGGAGACGCAGACAAUCAACUCUGUUUCUGAAUCGGAUCUUCCUGGAACACAUGGUAAGUGAUUUGAAAACAAUAUCCUGUGUUUGGUUUAAAAUUUAUUUUUCAUUCUAUGCAGACAUUUAUAUCUUACAAACAAGCCCUGCCUCACUGGACUUUAAUGAAUGGUAUGAGGGCUGCAUACGAAUAUGGUUUGUGUCCUUAAUGGAAAUACAAGGCAACAGAAUCUUCUUUCAGCCACAGCAUGAAGUAGACCAUGUGGUACUACAGUUAGGUUCUUCUAAAGUAGUAUUUUGCCUUUGCUUCAAACUUCAGGGCACAUCAGAAUCAACUAGCGUAUUUGAUUGAAGUCAGGUCUUUGGAAUUAACCUCCCUGCUCCCGGCUUGGAUUUAGAGGGUCUGGGUUGGGGCUCAAGAAUCUGCUUUUUUAUUUCUUUUUCGGCUGAACCCAUGGCAUAUGGAAGUUCUCAGGCCAGGGAUCAAAUCUGAGCUGCAGCUGCAACCUACACCACAGCUGUGGCAAUGCCAGAUCCUUAACCUACUGUGCCAGGCUACAUAUGGAACCCAUGCCAUCUCAGAGACAAUGCUGGGUUCUUAACUUGCUGUGCCUCAGUGGGAAUUCCAGGAAUCUACAUUUUUAUAUAACUUAAAAUAAAGAUAGUCUACAGACCACACCUUGAGCAACCAUGCUGCCGGGUCCAGGACUCAAGUUUUCAUGUUUGCAGUGUAAUUAUGGAAAGAUGACUUUGCCAAGAAAUUCCAAAGCAAGGACAGAAGCUAUGUGUGUAUAUUUUAAGUGCUACCUUUUUUUUAAACUUAUUUUUCUUAAUGUCUAUAUUUUGCUUGAUGCCAAGUAAAUUUAGAUUUUUGGUAUUUUCCCAAAUGGUUGUUGGCUACAUCCUAAGUCAGAGUUGUUGAUGCAGAGACUUUUCCAUAGGUGUGUUACUAGCAUUGAACCUUCAAACAUCUUUCAAAAUGGCCUCGAUAUCUGUGCCACCUCAUUUGGCAAGAAGCAGUCCUACUAGGAUCCUCCUAAAUAGGAGAAGCUCCAGUGGGGGCUUUCUGUUGCUUCAGGGGAAUAUGAUUCCUGCCUUCAGGAACUUAGGGAUUAAUGGCGAGAAAGGCAUUAAUCAGCUGAGCACACAGUUACAAUUACAGCCGUAUAAGAGGUCUGUGGCAGCGGAGAUGUGACCAAGCCAUCAGUGAGAGGAGCCCUGAGAAAGUCACAGGUGAAUGGAGGCCAGGGCUGGGGUAGGAACCAGCCAGCCAGAAGCAGAAGGAAGAGUUUUUCUGUUUUCCACAGUUGCAGUUGUCAGGACCUUGAGGGGGGUGGUACAGACUUCCACUGACUGCAGCUACCCACGCCCCCCAGGUCAGCCAUCCUAACACGGCAUCUAGCCAGCACAGGGCCCCUGGGUCCCAUUCCCCACACUUUCUGAAGUUCUAGAGAAAAAAACCUUCUGAUCAACAAAGUUUGGAAAUGUCCCCUGCCUUUGGCGAUAGAACACGGUCUGUCUUUUGGGACAAGCAGGGAAAGAGCAGAGAGGGCGGCCGCUGCAGUCAGACUCGGUUCUUAUUUGCCUUCGAAGUCCUUGUCUAAAUCGGCUUGGGGGUGGUGCAGGCAGAGCUGUAUCCACGGGAAAAUCUCUGGGAUGCUCAUCCUUGGUCACGUCUUAAACCGACGCAUUAAAAAUGAGCAGUCUUGGAGCUCCCUUGUGGCACAGUAAGGAUCCAGCAUUGUCACUGCAGCAGCUCAGGUUGCUGCUGUGACCAGGGCUUGAUUCCUGGCCUGGGAACUUCNUUGUCCUUUUUUUAGGGCCGCACCUGCAUCAUAUGAAAAUUCCCAGGCUAGGGGUUGAAUCGGAGCUGCAGCUGCCGGCCUCCACCACAGCCACAGCAACACAGGAUUAGAGCCAUGUCUGCGACCCACACCACAGCACAUGGCAACCCCAGAUCCUUGAACCCACUGAGGAAGGCCAGGAUCCAACUAGUCGGGUUUGCUACCGCUGAGCCAUGACGGACGGAACCCAUGUCCCCAGAACUUCUGUCUGCUGCAGGCACGGAGCCACCCCUCCCGAAAAACAAAACAAACAAGAAAUGAGCCAUCUGACACCAUCUCCGCUUGGUGGCACCCUGUCCCUCUGUACCAUACCUUUAGGCUGGCCAUUUGCUUAGGAACAGUGAGACCCCAUGAAGAGGGCUCAGACAAGGCUCCCAUCUACAAAAAUCUUUAAACCCCACUGAGACGAAUGCAGUCUGCAUGGCAGAAAAGACUGUACCUGAGAGGGUGAAAUAAGCUGGAUGCUUGUGACAGAGGAAAGCCACAAUGAUCUUCUUAUCAAAAGUUGCUUAGGCUAGCAUCGUGCUGCAAAAUCAACGGAAAAACAGUGGUCAUGUCUCCUGGGUCACUUCCCAUUGAAAACUCAGUUUGGGUUGGUUUAUGGAAAGUGGGUUAGCACAGACCGCUGUCCUUGCAAGAACCACACAAAGUGAGUUGAUGGCAGGCAGUGGCUGUGACAAAAGGCAGCACUGGAUGACAGCCAAAAGCAUGGACAGUGGAGUUCCCUGGCGGCUCGGCAGGUUAGGGAUCCGGUGUUGUCAAGGCUGUGUCUGAGUCACUGCUGUGGCACGGUUCGAUCUCUGGCUUGGGAACUUCUGUAUGCCACAGGUAUGCCCCCACCCCCCAAAAAAGGCGAGAAAAAAAACAUGGACAGAAGAUGGAAUCUGUGUGUCCUUGGGGUACCUUUUUGCUUGUUUUUGGCUUUUAAGGGCUGCACCCACAGCAGACGGAGGUUCCCAGGCUAGGAGUCAAUUCGGAGCUGUAGCUGCUGGCCUACACCAGAGCCACAGCAACGCCAGAUCCAAGCUGUGUCUGCAACCUACACCACAGCUCACAGCAACACCAGAUCCUUUAACCCAGUGAUGGAGGCCAAGGAUCGAACAUACAUCCUCAUGGAUGGUAGUCAGAUUUGUUUCCACCGAGCCACGACGGGAACGCCUGGGCUACUGUUCUGAUGUUUGUGCCUCAGUGUCCUGGUCUGUAAGUGGGAGAGAAAAUUUAUUUCACUAUUUCAUCUUCCUUUUAGGCAAUUCUGCCAUUCUUCCAUUUUUUAAAUUAUAUAUCUGUUACAAAUAAUUGUUAAUAAUUGAUGAGCAGUGGUGAACUAAUCCUUUGAAUGAGGAAAUACCAAAACAUUUGAAGAUAUGGGAAAAAUUAGAUCACUGAAGAGUCCAUAAUACAUCUUAGAUUUAUAAAAGGAUCCAAUGAAUCCAUAAAGUGCCUAUAAGAUAGAAGAAGUUUUAUUCUAUUUUUUUUUAUUAGUAGUAGACUACUCUCUAACCAAGCUAACUGGCUACAAUUAUUCUAUUUUUAAAAUGAAUAAAUAUUCUUUUUGUGCUUUGGAAGACCUCUAGAAACAUAUGUCGUGAAACAUCCAUCCUCACAAAUACAGUUGAUCUUCUCAAAAAAGUAACUCAAAAACUAAAAUUGAGGAAUUCCCAUUGUGUCUCAGCAGUAGCAAAUCCAACUAGUAUUCAGUAUUUAUGAGGGCUCAGGUUUGAUCCCUGGCCCUGCUCAGUGGGUUAAGGAUCCAGUGUUGCCAUGAGCUGUGGCAUCAUAGGUCACAGAUGCAACUUGGAUCUGGCGUUGCUGUGGUUGUGGUGCAGGCCAGCAGCCACAGCUCUGAUUGGAUCCUUCGCCUGGAAAUUUCCGUAUGUCUUGGGUAUGGCUCUAAAGACAAAAAAAACCCACCAAAAAACCCCACAAAAAAACCAAAAUUGAGUUUAAAGGACUAUGAGGGUACGCUGAGGGUUGACCUGAAGCGAGGAGGGCAUGGAGUAAGGCCUCACUGAUGAUAAAAUUCCAGGUUCUCUAAAUUUCAGUUUUCUUCAAGGUACAGUGGAAAUUUCUCAGGAUACACAUCGUAGGGAACAGGAGCGCUGACACCAAAGUAUUUCCUUAUUUAGGGGGCCCCCCAGUGGCCAUUCCCAGUGCUGACUUUCCUCAAAUUUCAGACUGGGGGGUGGAUUCAUCCACCGCCCAGAUUUCUUGACGACCAGUUUAACAACCAGUUUAGAUUACAUCCUGCAAUUAUAACUAGCAUUAGGAGCCUAGUAAAGAGACAUGCAAUUUUAUUAUAUCUAAAAUUACUUCCAACCUACUUGCGUUAAACUUCUAGAGCAAAACCCCACUUUCAGCAAGAACAUAUAAACCCAAGAUGGAACCACAGCGCCCCCUGGCAGGAUUGCAAGGUGAACCUCAAGCCAGUUUCUGUGACUGCCCAUCAUUUACCAAGAAUGGAAUUGCCUAAAAUGAAUUUGGUUUCUUUCUAGACCAGUGGAUUCCACAGACUACAGACAAUGAUAAGAUAGGGUUUUUUUUUUUCCUGUCUUCCCGUGGUUUUGCUCACUGGCUGGGUAGCUGCUGUUGGCUGCUGGAGGCUGAGUGCCGUCUUGGCCACAGACCAAGCACUUGUCCUUUAACGCAGGGAUGGAGAGGGAGGGGUCGAGGGGUGCAGAGACCUGAGCAUGUCCCCGACACGCACUCAGCCAAUCCCCUCUGUCAUUCUUCUUCCUUCUUCUCUCUGCCUCUUGGUCCUUCAUUGGAUGAGAUCAGCUUCAACUCGGUGUCAGGAGAGAAAGAUGAAAAAAAAAAAAUCAGUGCCUCUUCUCACCAUUAAUGCCAGUUAUAUGAAAGAUAGUUAACAUCUUCCAAGCCCUUGCUUUGUACCCUGGGCAAGAUUAUUUUCACAUAUGAAAUGAGUUAAUAAAUUUAAAAAGCAUUUAAAAUGCUAGUGGCCCAUAAUAAGUGCUCGACUAAUGCACAUGGUAAGUAGUGCUGUUAUUGUGAAAUCUUCCCAACAACACUUUGAGGUAAGUUGCAUUAUUACGCCCCUUGUGCAGAUGGGAAACUUCGGCGCAGAUAGGCCAAUCGCCAAGUUCUAUGUCUGGGGUCACAUGGGGGGUACGUGGCCGGGCAGAGAUUUGAACCCGGAACAGAUGCCUUUGCCUCUGUUGACAAUUUUUACUAAAAGUCUUAUCUUUCCUUCUCUGCGGUGAGAGUAUGCACCCUUUGCGUGCUCACUUAGGACAGCCGACCCCCCCAUUGGGUCUUGGCUGUGUUGUCCUUUCAGAGUGUGCCCUGGGAGUCCAGAAGUGGCCUGGGAGGCACUUGAGGAGCAGAUUUUUGGUGACUGACCCCCAGUAGGGGGCAGACUGAGGCUGGGAGCCUGAGAUCUCUUUGGCAGGGACCGCUUACAGGAGGGACGGGAGGCAGCAGGAAGGGCUAAGGAAGCCCAGAAUGCACCUUGGAAACACCCCCCAGACGGUCGGACUGGUCUUCCCUCCCGCUCCCUGAGCCCGCUCCUGACAACAACCAUAGACGCCACCUGUGCCCUUCUCUCCCAUCGCAUUCCAACUCUCUGGUCACUCCUUGACCAAACAUUCUCAUGAUCUCAGACUAACCACUGACGAGGCUCCUGCUGUCAGGAUGCUGGGCGGUCAGCAGGCUGGGCUGGAUCCCUCAGAACCUGCUGCCUGUUUUCCUUGUGUUAUCUGUGUGGGUGAUGUAGCAGGAUCAUGCCAGGCAGGAGCCUGGUGCCACUGACUCUCUGGUCAUGGUCAGCUUCAUGGUGGGAAUCAAGGCUCUCGAAGCCCCUCACAGGGGGCUCAAAAGGUAGGUUGAGGCCCAUUCUUGGACAAGCCCAUCUUGAACUGGUGGGAAUGGAGAAGACACUGAGGCAUUUUGAACAGGAAAGUGACUGAACAUACCUGUACUCUAUGAAGAUAAGACUUGAGUCAGGGAGUUCCCGCCGUGGCUCAGUGAAAACGAAUCUGACUAGUAUCCAUGAGGACACAGAUUCAAUCCCAGGCCUUGCUCGGCGGGUGAAAGAUCCAGCAUUGCCGUGAGCUCUGGUGUAGGUUGCAGACACGGCUCAGAUCCUGUGUUGCUGUGGCUGUGGUGUAGGCUGGCAGCUGUAGCUCAGAUUCAACCCCUAGCCUGGGAGCAUCCAUAUACUGCAGGUGCAGCUCUAAAACAAACAAACAAAUAAACAACAACAACAACAAC